rnacentral:snoRNA from 1 species
AAGACUAUACUUUCAGGGAUCGUUUCUGUAGUUCAUUACUAGAGAAGUUCCUCUGAACAUGUAGAACACCAGAAAUCACAAGAAGAUGCAGUGUUCUUUCCUGAGUGUGAAGCUGGCACUUGGUGUUUUGCAGUAACUGCUGUUUACCAUUGGCGAUUGUUCUUCUUUUCUUCCAGGAGAAUAAGAGGGAGAGUAUGCUUUUUUGA